GAGGAAUAUUGGUCAAUGGGCGUAAGCCUGAACCAGCCAAGUAGCGUGAGGGAAGACUGCCCUAUGGGUUGUAAACCUCUUUUGUGCGGGGAUAAAGUGUGGGACGUGUCCCAUAUUGCAGGUACCGCACGAAUAAGGACCGGCUAAUUCCGUGCCAGCAGCCGCGGUAAUACGGAAGGUCCGGGCGUUAUCCGGAUUUAUUGGGUUUAAAGGGAGCGCAGGCCGUCCUUUAAGCGUGCUGUGAAAUGCCGCGGCUCAACCGUGGCACUGCAGCGCGAACUGGAGGACUUGAGUACGCACGAGGUAGGCGGAAUUCGUGGUGUAGCGGUGAAAUGCUUAGAUAUCACGAAGAACUCCGAUUGCGAAGGCAGCUUACCGGAGCGCAACUGACGCUGAGGCUCGAAAGCGCGGGUAUCGAAC
rnacentral:rRNA from 1 species